rnacentral:rRNA from 1 species
UACGUAGGGGGCUAGCGUUGUCCGGAUUUAUUGGGCGUAAAGAGCUCGUAGGCGGCUUGUCACGUCGAUUGUGAAAGCCCGAGGCUUAACCUCGGGUCUGCAGUCGAUACGGGCUAGCUAGAGUGUGGUAGGGGAGAUCGGAAUUCCUGGUGUAGCGGUGAAAUGCGCAGAUAUCAGGAGGAACACCGGUGGCGAAGGCGGAUCUCUGGGCCAUUACUGGCGCUGAGGGGCGAAAGCGUGGGGAGCAAACAGG